rnacentral:lncRNA from 1 species
GAGUCUAGCGGCUUCCGAGGCGGCAGGGUCGAAGAGGAGGUGAUCUCGAGUUAGAUAGGUUAGAGAGAGAGAGAGAGAGAGAGAGAGAGAGAGAGAGAGCGUGUGUGUGUGAUGCAGGAUUCGUAAAAUAAUGGAUUAAGAGGUUAAACGUAAUUGGGACAAAUCCUCAUCUAAUGCAAUAUGAUGCUAGCACAGCAGAAAUUGUAUUCGAAAUUCAACAAAUUAAAUAAUUUUAAGAUGAUCCUAGAGAGUGAAGCAAUGCAAGGCAGACGUUGAAAUUAAAUACGAGUUUGAGAUGUUCGGAU